UUUAGGCUUCCCGGCCAAGUGGCGACGGCGCAGCUCUUUGGAAGAGUGGCAAGGAAGCCGGCGGCGUUGCGAAGCCCCGGCACGGACGGGCGAGCCGGAGGGGGAGAGACCCUCUUCAUAUAAAAGUGGCGAGGCUUAAAAGGGAAUCGCCGGCAGAGGCUUAAACGAAAAAAGAAAAAGAAAAAAGAACCUUGAUUUAGCUACCUUUUCUUUCUUGCUGUCUCUCUCUCUCUUUUCUUUCUUUCUUUUUGCCAUUUGAUUCCAGAACGGGGGAAAAAAAGAGAGAGAGAGAGAGAGAAAAGGAAAAAAAAAAGCCUCGGCGUGACAGAUUCGGUUAAAAAAAAAAGAAAGAAAAGCGGAGGAGAAGAUACCGAGGAAAAGAAUAGCUGAACGCUCAUUAAAACUGGAAAAUUCGGACUGAACCGUGUACGUAUGCUUGGAACCUUCUUUUAAAAAGAAAAGUAGAUUUAUUUUAUUGUAGCGAGGAGGAGGAGGUGGAAGAUGAAAAAACAAUUCCUAAUCUAAUUCCGUUUCUGGGCAACUGCUUGCCAUCUGGGAAAGAAAGCGCUCGGCUCUUAAAAAGCUUUUCUCUCCCCUCCCCUUCAAAAAAAAAAAAAAACCAACAACAACCAAAACCAGGAAUUGUUUUAAUUCCUUCUUUUUUGUGGCUGUUGCCGGGGUUAGACAUGGCAGAAUCCAGAAGUGACUUCUCUUGAGACUUUGCUUGCUGACUUGACAGUUUUUCUGCCUCUUUGUGAGACUGGGAGACUUGUGAGGGGGUGUGUGGGUGUGUGUGGGGGUGUAUUCCUCUUCCCAAACCCUGUGAUUUCCAUUAGCUACUUUCCCUCUGGAUUUCCCCCUUGAAGCACCCCCAAAAUUGAACCCUCAGCGGAUGGAGGUCUUGUAGCGAUGGUUUCACGCCUGCAGAGAGUUUGAGGGGAACAGGAGGAGGAAGUUUGCAGAGCGCUCCUUUUUAGGGGAAGACAAAAAAA